GACGAACGCUGGCGGGGUGCCUAAUACAUGCAAGUCGAGCGCAGGAAACUGACGGAACUCUUCGGAGGGAAGGCAGUGGAAUGAGCGGCGGACGGGUGAGUAACACGUAAGGAACCUGCCUCAAGGAUUGGGAUAACUCCGAGAAAUCGGAGCUAAUACCGGAUAGUUCAUCGGACCGCAUGGUCCGUUGAUGAAAGGCGCUUCGGCGUCACCUUGAGAUGGCCUUGCGGUGCAUUAGCUAGUUGGUGGGGUAAUGGCCCACCAAGGCGACGAUGCAUAGCCGACCUGAGAGGGUGAUCGGCCACACUGGGACUGAGACACGGCCCAGACUCCUACGGGAGGCAGCAGUAGGGAAUCUUCCACAAUGGACGAAAGUCUGAUGGAGCAACGCCGCGUGAGUGAUGAAGGUUUUCGGAUCGUAAAACUCUGUUGUAAGGGAAGAACACGUACGAGAGGAAAUGCUCGUACCUUGACGGUACCUUACGAGAAAGCCACGGCUAACUACGUGCCAGCAGCCGCGGUAAAAC
rnacentral:rRNA from 1 species